UUCAAAUAUUCUUUUUCCUCUCGCCCCUUACUCCCAUACGUAGGAAAGUGCCAGCAUUUGAAGACUUCUGCGCGUUGGGGCCCUUCAUCAUCAGCGGAACCAUUAAUAAUGCAAUGACAUGACACGAGCGCAAUUUCGUUGAGGCAGGCAACGACAAUUCAGCUGCGACAGUGACAGGAUAAUCGGGAGACAAGUGGAUGAGAUGCUGAACUAUAGAAAUUGAAACAAUUGAGGGAAACAUGGGAAAUAUGUGUAUGAAGACCUUAACUGAUGGAUCAACGGAAGGUUACAGGACAGCAGGCGACAUACAUCACAAGGAGAUGCGGCCUACAAAGUAUCUCAGCGAAAUGAAAACAAAUUAUUUAUAUACUUAUUUAAAAAUGUACCAUAAUAAGCUUAAAAUAUCGUUGGGUGUGUUUUUCGUAUGUACCAACCGAACUGACCCCCACAGCACACAAAAAUACAAAAAUCAGAGACUUUAUUAACUGCUCGGGAGUUCAAAGAUUUUCGCCACCAACUUUCAGUAGGAAUGGGCACACUAACCAUCUCAAUAAGUUGCUGAGCCCAUCUGAAGUCUCAGUCGUGCUUUAGGGUAUGUCUUGGAGGGAGCGAUUAAUCGGAUCAUACAGCCGUGAUCAGAGCCAUUAUCUUUAUAUAUAAAAAUGAAUGUUUGUCU